rnacentral:ncRNA from 1 species
CAAAGGCAUGGUCCCGACCUUAUUAUCAGCUCUAGCUCAACUUACACAUGCAAGUCUCCGCAACCCAGUGAAUAUGCCCACAAUCCCCCGCCCGGGGACGAGGAGCGGGCAUCAGGCACAAAUAAUUUUAGCCCAAGACGCCUGGCCAAGCCACACCCCCAAGGGAAUUCAGCAGUGAUAAACAUUAAGCCAUAAGUGAAAACUUGACUCAGUUAGAGCUAAGAGGGCCGGUAAAACUCGUGCCAGCCACCGCGGUUAGACGAGAGGCCCUAGUUGAUAAUACAACGGCGUAAAGGGUGGUUAGGGAUAACAAAAAAUAAAGUCAAAUGGCCCUUUAGCCGUCAUACGCUUCAUAGAAGUCAGAAGCCCUAUAUAUACGAAAGUAACUUUAAUAAACUUACCCGAACCCACGAAAGCUAAGAAACAAACUGGGAUUAGAUACCCCACUAUGCUUAGCCAUAAACUUAGACAUUUAACUACAAUAAGAUGUCCGCCAGGGUACUACGAGCACCAGCUUAAAACCCAAAGGACCUGACGGUGUCUCAGAUCCACCUAGAGGAGCCUGUUCUAGAACCGAUAACCCCCGAUUAACCUCACCAUUUCUAGUUUAACUCAGCCUAUAUACCGCCGUCGUCAGCUUACCCUGUGAAGGUAAUAAAAGUAAGCAAAAUGGGCACAACCCAGAACGUCAGGUCAAGGUGUAGCAUAUGAAAUGGAAAGAAAUGGGCUACAUUUUCUACCGCAGAAUAUUACGGAUAUGCACUAUGAAACAGUGUUUGAAGGAGGAUUUAGCAGUAAAAGAGAAUCAGAGUGUCUCUUUGAAUCCGGCUCUGAGACGCGUACACACCGCCCGUCACUCUCCCCGCAAAACGCACCAAAAUAUACUUAAUACAAUAGCAUACAUAAGGGGAGGCAAGUCGUAACACGGUAAGUGUACCGGAAGGUGCACUUGGACCAACC